rnacentral:rRNA from 1 species
UACGUAGGGGGCAAGCGUUGUCCGGAUUUAUUGGGCGUAAAGAGCUUGUAGGCGGUCUGUCGCGUCUGCUGUGAAAAUCCGGGGCUCAACCCCGGACUUGCAGUGGGUACGGGCAGACUAGAGUGUGGUAGGGGAGACUGGAAUUCCUGGUGUAGCGGUGAAAUGCGCAGAUAUCAGGAGGAACACCGAUGGCGAAGGCAGGUCUCUGGGCCACUACUGACGCUGAGAAGCGAAAGCAUGGGGGAGCGAACAGG